GCAAAGAGCUGGAGGAAGAGCAGAGGGCACAAGGAAUGCUGAAGACAGAAGGCAGAAACCGUGUGGGCAUUAUCAGAGAAACAGAAAGACAGCCAGAUGGCCUGAAGCUACAGAGGGAGGUUGUGGCCAGAUCAAAGAGGUUGGAAUUUUAAGUGCAAUUGAAAAAUCACAGAUGUUUGAUAAUCAAGAUACAGAUACUGGCUUUACUCAGCAAAGCCCAGUAGAGGCAGUGUAGCAUCAAUGUGGAGGAGCUCAAAAGCAAAUCUGGGGUGCAGAGUUACUUCUCCCGGCACCUUAUUCCACCUGUAAUCUAGACAUGGAACAAUUGCACAUGGCAAACUAUGGAAAGAACCUAGAUGUCC